rnacentral:rRNA from 1 species
AUGAACGCUAGCGACAGGCUUAACACAUGCAAGUCGAGGGGCAGCACAGGUAGCAAUACCGGGUGGCGACCGGCGCACGGGUGAGUAACGCGUAUGCAACUUACCUAUCAGAGGGGGAUAACCCGGCGAAAGUCGGACUAAUACCGCAUGAAGCAGGGGCCCCGCAUGGGGAUAUUUGCUAAAGAUUCAUCGCUGAUAGAUAGGCAUGCGUUCCAUUAGGCAGUUGGCGGGGUAACGGCCCACCAAACCGACGAUGGAUAGGGGUUCUGAGAGGAAGGUCCCCCACAUUGGUACUGAGACACGGACCAAACUCCUACGGGAGGCAGCAGUGAGGAAUAUUGGUCAAUGGCCGAGAGGCUGAACCAGCCAAGUCGCGUGAGGGAUGAAGGUUCUAUGGAUCGUAAACCUCUUUUAUAAGGGAAUAAAGUGCGGGACGUGUCCCGUUUUGUAUGUACCUUAUGAAUAAGGAUCGGCUAACUCCGUGCCAGCAGCCGCGGUAAUACGGAGGAUCCGAGCGUUAUCCGGAUUUAUUGGGUUUAAAGGGUGCGUAGGCGGCCUUUUAAGUCAGCGGUGAAAGUCUGUGGCUCAACCAUAGAAUUGCCGUUGAAACUGGGGGGCUUGAGUAUGUUUGAGGCAGGCGGAAUGCGUGGUGUAGCGGUGAAAUGCAUAGAUAUCACGCAGAACCCCGAUUGCGAAGGCAGCCUGCCAAGCCAUGACUGACGCUAAUGCACGAAAGCGUGGGGAUCAAACAGGAUUAGAUACCCUGGUAGUCCACGCAGUAAACGAUGAUCACUAGCUGUUUGCGAUACACAGUAAGCGGCACAGCGAAAGCGUUAAGUGAUCCACCUGGGGAGUACGCCGGCAACGGUGAAACUCAAAGGAAUUGACGGGGGCCCGCACAAGCGGAGGAACAUGUGGUUUAAUUCGAUGAUACGCGAGGAACCUUACCCGGGUUUGAACGCAUUCGGACCGAGGUGGAAACACCUUUUCUAGCAAUAGCCGUUUGCGAGGUGCUGCAUGGUUGUCGUCAGCUCGUGCCGUGAGGUGUCGGCUUAAGUGCCAUAACGAGCGCAACCCUUGCCACUAGUUACUAACAGGUGAUGCUGAGGACUCUGGUGGGACUGCCAGCGUAAGCUGCGAGGAAGGCGGGGAUGACGUCAAAUCAGCACGGCCCUUACAUCCGGGGCGACACACGUGUUACAAUGGCGUGGACAAAGGGAGGCCACCUGGCGACAGGGAGCGAAUCCCCAAACCACGUCUCAGUUCGGAUCGGAGUCUGCAACCCGACUCCGUGAAGCUGGAUUCGCUAGUAAUCGCGCAUCAGCCAUGGCGCGGUGAAUACGUUCCCGGGCCUUGUACACACCGCCCGUCAAGCCAUGGGAGCCGGGGGUACCUGAAGUCCGUAACCGCGAGGAUCGGCCUAGGGUAAAACUGGUGACUGGGGCU